rnacentral:tRNA from 1 species
GUUAAGGUGGCAGAGCCCGGUAAUUGCGUAAAUCUUAAACCUUUAUACUCAGAGAUUCAAAUCCUCUCCUUAACA